UACGUAGGGGGCUAGCGUUGUCCGGAUUUAUUGGGCGUAAAGAGCGUGUAGGCGGCCAGGUAGGUCUGCUGUGAAAACUCGAGGCUUAACCUCGAGAUGUCGGCGGAAACCAUCUGGCUAGAGUCCGGAAGAGGAAAGUGGAAUUCCUGGUGUAGCGGUGAAAUGCGCAGAUAUCAGGAAGAACACCAAUUGCGAAGGCAGCUCGCUGGGACGUUACUGACGCUGAGACGCGAAAGCGUGGGGAGCAAACAGG
rnacentral:rRNA from 1 species